rnacentral:rRNA from 1 species
UUGGAGGGCAGUCUGGUGCCAGCAGCCGCGGUAAUUCCAGCUCCAAUAGCGUAUAUUAAAGUUGUUGCAGUUAAAAAGCUCGUAGUUGAAUUUCGGGGUUCUACCGUUGGUCGGGCUUUGUCUGUACUGGUGUGUAGAAUUUCUACCUUCUGGGGAACCAUCAUGCUAUUAAUUUAGCGUGGUGGGAAACCAGGACCUUUACCUUGAAAAAAUUAGUGUGUUCAAAGCAGGCUUAUGUCUGAAUACAUUAGCGUGGAAUAAUAGAAUAGGACGGUGGUCCUGUUUUGUUGGUUUCUGAAUCACCGUAAUGAUUAAUAGGGAUAGUUGGGGGCAUUAGUAUUCAAUUGUCAGAGGUGAAAUUCUUGGAUUUAUUGAAGACUAACUUCUGCGAAAGCAUUUGCCAAGGAUGUUUUCAUUAAUCAAGAACGAAAGUUAGGGGAUCGAAGACGAUCAGAUACCGUCGUAGUCUUAACCAUAAACUAUGCCGACUAGGGAUCGGACGAUGUUAAUUUUUCUUGACUCGUUCGGCGCCUUACGGGAAAC